rnacentral:rRNA from 2 species
UAAUACGGAGGGUGCAAGCGUUAAUCGGAAUUACUGGGCGUAAAGCGCGCGUAGGUGGCUUGAUAAGCCGGUUGUGAAAGCCCCGGGCUCAACCUGGGAACGGCAUCCGGAACUGUCAAGCUAGAGUGCAGGAGAGGAAGGUAGAAUUCCCGGUGUAGCGGUGAAAUGCGUAGAGAUCGGGAGGAAUACCAGUGGCGAAGGCGGCCUUCUGGACUGACACUGACACUGAGGUGCGAAAGCGUGGGUAGCAAACAGGAUUAGAUACCCUGGUAGUCCACGCCGUAAACGAUGUCGACCAGCCGUUGGGUGCCUAGCGCACUUUGUGGCGAAGUUAACGCGAUAAGUCGACCGCCUGGGGAGUACGGCCGCAAGGUUA